ensembl:lncRNA
GAGGCCAGCCACAGCUGACUGUGAAGCCUUCACCUUUGGAACUCUCCUGCUGCAGGCUUGAAGAUGUAGAGCAGUGGCGGAGUCUUUUUUUUUUCUUUCCUGGUCUGCUUUCACCUUCAGGAGCUGAUCUAUCACAUGCAUGCAGGCAGCAGUAUUGCAUGUCAUUACUCUGUGUGUAGUUUUAUUGGACUUUCGGCUUCCUGGGAAGGAUGAUCCCUGGGGCCUUCGAGAAAGGAAUACAUGCAUUUUAAAACCCAGCUUGAAACCAAGCACCUUGCUGCACCUACUUGAAUGAUUAGCGGAAGGGUAUUAUCAGGUCGGGGAGAUAAGAAGGCACAUCAAAGAGAGUUCAAAAGGCCCUGCUUAACAGUAAUGACCCACCAGACAGCUCUGAUGACUGAAGAUCUUCACCCGUCCCAGAAAAGCCUGCUAUCUCUCGUGCAGCUCUUCAUCUUCAUUGGCUCAUCAAGGUGUGCAAGUUGAGGGUGACUUUCUUAUCUGCUUGCUUUUUUGUGAUUGAACUGAGAAAUUGGACUUUGGCUGUGUGCGAUAACAUCAGAUAAUGUGAAAUGGGUUGGUGGGGCUCUUAUCGUGGGAGAUUAUCCGUUGAAAAGUCCCAAAUUUGCUGAUGAUGCAGACGGUUGCUGGAGUCCCAAAACACUGAAGAGAGCAGCAAAACACACCAGUGGUCAAACACACACUGCUAACAACACUGAGCACACAUGUGGUGAUCAUAGCAGAUGCAUUGCUGGCAUUAAUACUUAUAAUUAUUAGAAUAAUAUAAAGAUAGUUAUAUAAAUUGAUUAAAGUUCAUUCUAAAUAUCUGUCUUGAAGACUAAGUAAUUAAUUAAAAUGAAUUAAUUGUCCCUGGUCAUAAAUGAAAUUGUUAUAAUGAAUAUGAAAUUGUAAUAUUACAACAGAUAUUUAAUAUACAAUAGAUAUUUUAUAUUAAAUAUAUUUAAUAUUAAAAUGGCAUCUUAAAUUGUUAUAAAUAAUAUAAUAUAUAACAAUAGAAUAUAAAUACAAAAUUAACAUAAAAUGAUUAAAAUCAAUUCUAAAUAUCUGACUUGAAGACUAAUAUAAAACGAAC